rnacentral:lncRNA from 1 species
GUUGGCAUUACAGUACUCAUAUAAGAGCUAGUCACUGAUUGGCUGAGAGGACACACUCUGUACACAGGAAAACCACACUUCCUGUUGUUGUUGCCAAGGUGCUGUCAUUCAGCCUGAGGAAGAGAGUCCAAAUGUUAUUAUUGAUGGUAUAGGUCUCACACUCUGCUGGUAUUGAUGGAUGGUAUAGGUCUCACUCUGCUGGUAUUGAUGGAUGGUAUAGGUCUCACACUCUGCUGGUAUUGAUGGUUGGUAUAGGUCUCACUCUGCUGGUAUUGAUGGAUGGUAUAGGUCUCACUCUGCUGGUAUUGAUGGAUGGUAUAGGUCUCACACUCUGCUGGUAUAGGUCUCACUCUGCUGGUAUUGAUGGAUGGUAUAGGUCUCACUCUGCUGGUAUAGGUCUCACUCUGCUGGUAUUGAUGGUUGGUAUAGGUCUCACUCUGCUGGUAUUGAUGGAUGGUAUAGGUCUCACACUCUGCUGGUAUUGAUGGAUGGUAUUGGUCUCACUCUGCUGGUAUUGAUGGAUGGUAUAAGUCUCACUCUGCUGGUAUUGAUGGAUGGUAUAGGUCUCACACUCUGCUGGUAUUGAUGGAUGGUAUAGGUCUCACUCUGCUGGUAUUGAUGGUUGGUAUAGGUCUCACUCUGCUGGUAUUGAUGGAUGGUAUAGGUCUCACACUCUGCUGGUAUUGAUGGGUGGUAUAGGUCUCACUCUGCUGGUAUUGAUGGAUGGUAUAGGUCUCACUCUGCUGGUAUUGAUGGAUGGUAUAGGUCUCACUCUGCUGGUAUUGAUGGAUGGUAUAGGUCUCUUCUUCUUCUUCUUUGGUCUCCUCUGUCCCUGACGAGGCGUUAAACAGGUCUCCUUCCUC